rnacentral:tRNA from 1 species
GCAGCGGUGGUUUAGAGGUAGAAUUCUCCACCUUUGAUUACGGAGACCCAGGUUCAAUUCCUGGCCAGUGCU